rnacentral:rRNA from 1 species
UACGUAGGGUGCGAGCGUUAAUCGGAAUUACUGGGCGUAAAGCGUGCGCAGGCGGUUCUGAAAGUCAGCUGUGAAAGCCCCGGGCUUAACCUGGGAAUUGCGGUUGAAACUACAGGGCUAGAAUCUGGCAGAGGGGGGUGGAAUUCCACGUGUAGCAGUGAAAUGCGCAGAUAUCAGGAGGAACACCAAUUGCGAAGGCAGCUCGCUGGGACGUAACUGACGCUGAGACGCGAAAGCGUGGGGAGCAAACAGG